GAGUUUGAUCAUGGCUCCAGAUUGAACGCUGGCGGCACGCUUAACACAUGCAAGUCGAGCGGUAGCAGGACAUGUAGCAAUACAUGUUGCUGACGAGCGGCGGACGGGUGAGUAACACGUAGGAACUUAUCCUAAAGAGGGGGACAACCAAGGGAAACUUUGGCUAAUACCGCGUAACCUCGAGAGAGAAAGUUGCCCGCAAGGGUGGCGCUUUAGGAAGGGCCUGCGUCCGAUUAGCUAGUUGGAGAGGUAACGAGCUCCCCAAGGCGAUGAUCGGUAACUGGUCUGAGAGGACGACCAGUCACACUGGGACUGAGACACGGCCCAGACUCCUACGGGAGGCAGCAGUGGGGAAUAUUGGACAAUGGGGGCAACCCUGAUCCAGCGAUG
rnacentral:rRNA from 1 species